rnacentral:rRNA from 1 species
CCUACGGGUGGCAGCAGUGAGGAAUAUUGGUCAAUGGACGAGAGUCUGAACCAGCCAAGUAGCGUGAAGGAUGACUGCCCUAUGGGUUGUAAACUUCUUUUAUAUGGGAAUAAAACAGGGUAUGCAUACCCUCUUGUAUGUACCAUAUGAAUAAGGAUCGGCUAACUCCGUGCCAGCAGCCGCGGUAAUACGGAGGAUGCGAGCGUUAUCCGGAUUUAUUGGGUUUAAAGGGUGCGUAGGCGGGCUUUUAAGUCAGCGGUAAAAAUUCGGGGCUCAACCCCGUCCGGCCGUUGAAACUGGGGGCCUUGAGUGGGCGAGAAGAAGGCGGAAUGCGUGGUGUAGCGGUGAAAUGCAUAGAUAUCACGCAGAACCCCGAUUGCGAAGGCAGCCUUCCGGCGCCCUACUGACGCUGAGGCACGAAAGUGCGGGGAUCGAACAGGAUUAGAUACCCUUGUAGUC